AUACGGAGGAUGCGAGCGUUAUCCGGAUUUAUUGGGUUUAAAGGGAGCGUAGGCGGGAGCUUAAGUCAGCGGUUAAAUGGUGCGGCUCAACCGUGCCCUGCCGUUGAAACUGGGUUUCUUGAGAGUGCAAGAGGCGGAUGGAAUCCAUGGUGUAGCGGGGAGAUGCUUAGAUAUCAUGAAGAACUCCGAUUGCGAAGGCAGUCCGCUGGGGCACGUCUGACGCUGAUGCUCGAAGGUGCGGGAAUCAAACAGGAUUAGAUACCCUGGUAGUCCGCACGGUAAACGAUGAUUACCCGCUGUCGGCGGUAGACAGUCGGCGGCCAAGCGAAAGCGAUAAGUAAUCCACCUGGGGAGUACGCCGGCAACGGUGAAACUCAAAUGAAUUGACGGGG
rnacentral:rRNA from 1 species